AUACACUCUGAUGACGAGACGUCUCUUCGGGGGCUGUUCCGUUGUGGCGGUGUUACAUAGUCGCCGGACGGUACUGGUGAAGGAGGGUAACUGGAGCGGAGUGUCCGGGAGUACACCGCAGUCCCAUCUGACGCUUGCUGCUGCCGGAGCACGGAGCGCAAGACUCCGGUUCCCGUGUGCUUUUUGAGAGCGGGAAACACAACAAACCCACAACAAGGUUUUGUUUUGCUUUCCUCAAAACAUGAAGAAGCCAGACGUGAGAACAGGGCAGCAGGCUGGCAGCAGUUCCUCCUGAAGGCCCACCCCUCCGUCCCGGUCCCACAUUACAAAGUUUUUGCUCACUCAAUUCAAAUGCUUUCCAUUCUGUGGAAAGGUAUGUGUUGUAUGCGAGGGAGCAUAUUUUGUGGGGUUGAUGGACGGUUUGAGCAGCCUCACUUGACCCGAGUCGGAAUGAUUAGACUCUGCGGCUGGGUGAGGCUGCACACCUAGUGGUGUUUUUCCACUAUGAUGCACACAGAUUAAACCAGAUAUGUACAAUGCAGCAACAAUGUUCUCCACUAAGUGUUUAUGAAAAACGCUCUGUAAAACAAACUUUAUUUUACAGAGAAAUCACAAAGUUAAAACGCAUUCCAGUGAGUUUAUAACUGGAGAAGGAAACAUAGGUUAAACAUAGGAGAAUAUUUGAAUAUCUGUUUUCACUCAGGUGACAAGAUCAACAUGUUUUUGCUGAAUAAUUCAUGGUCAGAGAUGCCCCCCCUUCAAGGAGUUUGAAAAGUUUUGGAUGUGCAUUGAGUUCUAUCUGAUCUUAGAAUGAACUGUAGAUGCAUUGCUCAUUCUCAAAAUUAAUUACAGCAGCAAGGGAAUAAAUAAUAUAUGGAUGACAAUGAAGCGAAUGACAAGAUCAGCCGACUAAAAAGAGACAGAGAAACCCAAUGUCGGAGGAACAGAAGAAGAGAAGAGGGAGACUGACCGACAGAGAGGCCAGACACGAGUAAACGUUAUGCAAGCUUUUCAGGAAUAGCGUGAACUGAAAGAAAAAGAAGACUGCAAAUCAGACGCCGACUCGGCCGUGUUGCUUUUGAAAUUGAAAGUACCCUUGGGUGAACUUUGUCUUAAUGGUGUUCUUGAUGUUGAUAGUCUCUGUACAAAUGUGUUUGCUCAACCAUUUUGUUGUGAGCCCUGUAAAAAUUGUUUUCUCGACCGUUUUGUUGUGAGCCCUGUAUGUUUCUAGCUUGCUUGGUUGCAAC
ensembl:lncRNA